GACGAACGCUGGCGGCGUGCCUAACACAUGCAAGUCGAACGGAAAGGCACUGCUUUUGUGCGGUUCUCGAGUGGCGAACGGGUGAGUAACACGUGAGUAACCUGCUCUUGUCUUUGGGAUAACUUCAGGAAACUGGGGCUAAUAUCGGAUAGGAGCUCCUGCUGCAUGGUGGGGGUUGGAAAGUUUCGGCGGUUGGGGAUGGACUGGCGGCUUAUGAGCUUGUUGGUGGGGUAGUGGAAUACCAAGGCUUUGACGGGUAGCCGGCCUGAGAGGGUGGACGGGGUCAUGGGGACUAAGAGACGGAGCAGUCGGGUACAGGAGACAACAGGGGGAAGUAUGACACAGUGAGCGGAAGUCGGAUACGAAGGCGCCGCGUGCGGAAAGACGGCCUGCGGGGUAUGAAAAGCAUUAGCCUGAGACGAAGCGUGAGUGACGGUAAUGAAUAAAGAAGCACCGGCUAACUACGUG
rnacentral:rRNA from 1 species